rnacentral:rRNA from 1 species
ACUCCUGCGGGAGGCAGCAGUGGGGAAUAUUGGACAAUGGGCGCAAGCCUGAUCCAGCCAUGCCGCGUGAGUGAUGAAGGCCCUAGGGUUGUAAAGCUCUUUCACCGGUGAAGAUAAUGACGGUAACCGGAGAAGAAGCCCCGGCUAACUUCGUACCAGCAGCCGCGGUAAUACGAAGGGGGCUAGCGUUGUUCGGAUUUACUGGGCGUAAAGCGCACGUAGGCGGACUAUUAAGUCAGGGGUGAAAUCCCGGGGCUCAACCCCGGAACUGCCUUUGAUACUGGUAGUCUUGAGUUCGAGAGAGGUGGGUGGAAUUCCGAGUGUAGAGGUGAAAUUCGUAGAUAUUCGGAGGAACACCAGUGGCGAAGGCGGCUCACUGGCUCGAUACUGACGCUGAGGUGCGAAAGCGUGGGGAGCAAACAGGAUUAGAAACCCUUGUAGUCC